rnacentral:rRNA from 1 species
GACGAACCGUGCGAACGUUAUUCGGAAUCACUGGGCUUAAAGCGCGUGUAGGCGGGUCAGCACGUCGGGUGCUGAAAUCCCCCGGCUCAACCGGGGAACGGGCACCGAUACGACUGGCCUGGAGGGGAGUAGGGGGACCUGGAACUUCCGGUGGAGCGGUGAAAUGCGUUGAGAUCGGAAGGAACGCCCGUGGCGAAAGCGAGGUCCUGGGCUCCUGCUGACGCUGAGACGCGAAAGCCAGGGGAGCGAACGGG